UACGAAGGGGGCUAGCGUUGCUCGGAAUCACUGGGCGUAAAGCGCACGUAGGCGGCUUUGUAAGUUAGAGGUGAAAGCCCGGGGCUCAACUCCGGAAUUGCCUUUAAGACUGCAUCGCUAGAAUUGUGGAGAGGUAAGUGGAAUUCCGAGUGUAGAGGUGAAAUUCGUAGAUAUUCGGAAGAACACCAGUGGCGAAGGCGACUUACUGGACACAUAUUGACGCUGAGGUGCGAAAGCGUGGGGAGCAAACAGG
rnacentral:rRNA from 1 species